rnacentral:lncRNA from 1 species
GGGGUUGUGUGAUGCUUCAUAUAUUCUUUCUUUAAAGUUUAAAGCCACUUUUCGCUGAAUGCAAGUUUCAAAAAAUAAAAAUAAUCUCCUACCCAUCAUCUGCAUGACACAUGACAACAAAAUUCUUAGUCACAACACUGGCAGAAUGUGAACUUUGCACUACUUUCCUCUUGAGCAAGCUAGGCUUUGUAUCUGCACAGCGCUGCUAAUUGCUGCAGUUACAGUAUUUCCAAUAAAGUACCAUGGUAGCUGAAGAUUUAUUAGAGAUUAAAGCAGAUUACAUUUUUUCAAGGCAUAAAUUGAUUGUGCCUAAGGAAGUUGCAGCUAUCCUUGCCUAAAGUUUGUUUUAUUCUAGUUAAUAUUCUCUAACCAUCACACAGCUUUGAUUCCUUUUGUGAGAAGUCGCCUGGGACUUUCAGAUUCUGAAAAAGAGUGUUUAUUUAAUAAUGAAAUUAAGACUAUGUCAUCUGUCACAUGGAUCCAAAAUGAAGGCAGCUCACAAAGACCACAGUGACUUCACAGAAAUCUGAGUUUUGUUUUGGAUGUUUCAUUUUGGAUGAGGCUUUUACCACAGAAAGCAUUCCUGGAGGGUCACUCUGACAGCAAACCAUUAGAGCAAAACAGGAUUGAGCCUGGGAGAGGUGCCACUUUCUGGGACUCUCAGUUUUCCUUUCUCAUGUGAUACAGAACGCAAUGAUGUAAAUGCAAUGAAGCCUGACUGUUCCUUACAUGGCUAGUGAAUAGCUCAUUCCUCUGAACCCUAAUCAAAUGAUUUUUGAAUCUUCAUCAACUUUGUGUUCAACCUCUAAGUGUUCUCAGUGUUGAUCUCUAGUACCCAAUGCAUUACAGUGGAAAUUAUUUGGAAUAUUUAGAAGCAUUUUAACAAUCAUCUGGUCAUUUUUUCACAUUGUGAAACCUCAAAUCCAUCUGAGU